rnacentral:rRNA from 1 species
AUUGAACGCUGGCGGCAGGCCUAACACAUGCAAGUCGAACGCGUGGCGGACGGGUGAGUAAUGUCUGGGAAACUGCCCGAUGGAGGGGGAUAACUACUGGAAACGGUAGCUAAUACCGCAUACCAUCGGAUGUGCCCAGAUGGGAUUAGCUAGUAGGUGGGGUAACGGCUCACCUAGGCGACGAUUCCUAGCCGGUCUGAGAGGAUGACCAGCCACACUGGAACUGAGACACGGGCCAAACUCUUACGGGAGGCAGCAGUGGGGAAUAUUGCACAAUGGGCGCAAGCCUGAUGCAGCCAUGCCGCGUGUAUGAAGAAGGCCUUCGGGUUUUAAAGUACUUUCAGCGAGGAAGCGUUACUCAAAGAAGAAGCACCGGCUAACUCCGUGCCAGCAGCCGCGGUAAUAC